rnacentral:lncRNA from 1 species
GAUGUUGCCUUGCCUUCAACUGUGCAUAAUUCCAUUUGUAAUAAUGCUGUUACAACUGAUAUGAAUUACAUUUGGCAUUUAAGACUAGCACAUACUUCCUUUGCUAAUAUGAGACAUAUUUCUGGUUUGUCUUUUCCAUUUGCUUCUAAAAAACCUUUUCCUUGUUCUGUCUGUCCUAUGGCCAAACAAACCAGACUCCCUUUUCCUGAUAGUAGUAUCAAUACUACUAGACCUUUCCAAUUAAUACAUGUGGAUACUUGGGGACCUUACCACACUUCUACUUCUUCUGGUUAUAGAUAUUUCCUUACAAUAGUUGAUGAUUUCUCCAGGGCAACCUGGACACACUUAAUGGGCUCUAAGAGAAAUGCUUUUCCCCUGCUUAAAUCUUUCAUCUGUUUUGUUGAUACUCAGUUUUAAUAGUUGAUGAUUUCUCUAGGGCAACCUGGACACACUUAAAUGGGCUCUAAAAGCAAUGCCUUCUCCCUGCUUAAAUCUUUCAUCUGUUUGGUUAAAACUCAUUUUAAUACUGUGGUUCAAAUUGUUAGAAGUGACAAUGCUUUAGAAUUGGGGUCUAGCAUUGAGGGUAUAUCUUUCUUUAGUAGNN